GACAACUUGAUGACAGGCCCCAAAAUGGGGGAUGGCUUGCAACAUGGCUCAUCUUAGGUGAAACGACCCGUUUAAAUAUAUAUCAGUUCCUCUUGCUAAUGUUAUUAUUAAAAGAAAAAGAAAAGGAUAGGAUUACGAAAAGGAAAAAAAAACAAAAAACUAAGCUAAUUGUAAAACCCACGACAGCACCCACCCACACCCAUUACAUAUUCCUAAUUCUAAAAUGCUAAAACCUACUUACCCAAAUCCUAUGCGAGACAUCUCUCACCCUCCCUCUCGAAACUUCUUUUCUUUUCCUCUGCAACAGUGGCUAUCAUUCUCUUUUCUAUUCUCUUCAUCUUCUUUUUCUCCAUUGAAGUCACACUAAAUCUCACCAUAAAAAAAACAUACGCACAUGAAGGAAAAUUAUGGCAAUCAAGUGGAAAGGCUUUUGGGAUAAUUUUGGAGGCUUAGGGUUUGUGCUCUAAGGAAGGAGAAGAGUACCCACUCCUACAUAAUUAUUCUUUCUAUUUCAUUGAGAUUUGACGGCGAGUGGAUCGUUCGAUGGUCGUAGGAUUGCUGAAAGCAAUCGUGGCUAUUCUUCAUAGUUCUUUGAUGAGUAUUGGAAAGCUGAUUUUGAGACAGUUGAUGAGACUUGAUAUGAUUUGAGAAAAUGGUUUUGGGGAUCCUUGAUAGAACCCCGUAGCCGUUAGCGGAGGUAACGGUCUAGGUGUACCUAACUAGUUUGAUUCCGGGAGGAGAUGGCUAUCCGUUAAAUGGAGCCGCCAGGGCACGGAAAGGGCUAUCAACGAGAUGAAGCUUCCCCCGAUGAGAUAUGACAUGAUUUCGGGUGGAGAGGGCUAUCCGUUAGAUGGAGCCGCCUCUUGGGUAAGAUAAUCCUUAAGAGGAAAGGGCUAUCAACGAGAUGUAGCUUCCCCAGAUGACACGAUGUGACUUGAGAAAGGAAAGGGCUAUCCGCUAGAUGGAGCCACCCCUAUCGGAGAGGCCAUCCCUUAGGAGGAGAGGGCUAUCAGCGAGAUGGAGCCGCCUCAUGGUUCUACAUGUGUGACCCUAUUAAUUAUAUUUCUGGUUUUAUGUUUUUCAUAUAUGGACAUGAUUUUAACUGUAUUUAUUUGAAAUAGUUAUUUAUGAAUUUAUGAUUUUUGUCAAGUUCAUUGUGGAAAUGAUUUAAACUGGUAUUAUUGAUGAUAUAAAUUGUUUAUGUUGAGCUGAGAGCGAAAAACUCGUGCCUAGUUUGUUUCCCCUUCCUGUUCAUGGUGGUUGUUGACUGCUCACUAAGUCUUUGUGACUUACCCCAU